rnacentral:tRNA from 1 species
GCGGGUGUGGUGGAAUGGCAGACACGCUGGUCUUAGGAACCAGUGCCACGUGCAUGCAGGUUCAAGUCCUGUCACCCGCACCA